rnacentral:rRNA from 1 species
AUUGAACGCUGGCGGCAGGCCUAACACAUGCCAGUCGAACGGUAACAGGAAGAAGCUUGCUUCUUUGCUGACGAGUGGCGGACGGGUGAGUAAUGCCUGGGAAACUGCCUGAUGGAGGGGGAUAACUACUGGAAACGGUAGCUAAUACCGCAUAACGUCGCAAGACCAAAAAGGGGGACCUUCGGGCCUCUUGCCAUCGGAUGUGCCCAGAUGGGAUUAGCUAGUAGGUGGGGUAACGGCUCACCUAGGCGACGAUCCCUAGCUGGUCUGAGAGGAUGACCAGCCACACUGGAACUGAGACACGGUCCAGACUCCUACGGGAGGCAGCAGUGGGGAAUAUUGCACAAUGGGCGCAAGCCUGAUGCAGCCAUGCCGCGUGUAUGAAGAAGGCCUUCGGGUUGUAAAGUACUUUCAGCGGGGAGGAAGGGAGUAAAGUUAAUACCUUUGCUCAUUGACGUUACCCGCAGAAGAAGCACCGGCUAACUCCGUG